UACGAAGGGGGCUAGCGUUGCUCGGAAUCACUGGGCGUAAAGCGCACGUAGGCGGAUCUUUAAGUCAGGGGGUGAAAUCCUGGAGCUCAACUCCAGAACUGCCUUUGAUACUGGGGAUCUCGAGUCCGGGAGAGGUGAGUGGAACUGCGAGUGUAGAGGUGAAAUUCGUAGAUAUUCGCAAGAACACCAGUGGCGAAGGCGGCUCACUGGCCCGAUACUGACGCUGAGACGCGAAAGCGUGGGGAGCGAACAGG
rnacentral:rRNA from 1 species